rnacentral:rRNA from 1 species
GACGAACGCUGGCGGCGUGCUUAACACAUGCAAGUCGAACGGAAAGGCCUGCUUUCCCUUGUGGAUUGCGGGUACUCGAGUGGCGAACGGGUGAGUAACACGUGAGUGAUCUGCCCCCAACUUGGGUAUAAGCCUGGGAAACUGGGUCUAAUUCCCGAUAGGACUGCAGGGUGGUGCCUGUGGUGGAAAACGAUUUUCUAGUGGUUGGGGAUGAGCUCGCGGCCUAUCAGCUUGUUGGUGGGGUAAUGGCCUACCAAGGCGGCGACGGGUAGCCGGCCUGGGAGGGUGGACGGCCACAUUGGGACUGAGAUACGGCCCAGACUCCUACGGGAGGCAGCAGUGGGGAAUAUUGCACAAUGGGCGGAAGCCUGAUGCAGCGACGCGGCGUGGGGGAUGACGGCCUUCGGGUUGUAAACUCCUUUCGACCGCGAGGAAGCCACCUGGUUGGAAGGGUGGUGACGGUAGUGGUAGAAGAAGCACCGGCUAACUACGUG